rnacentral:rRNA from 1 species
UACGAGUGCUUCAAGCGUUAUCCGGAAUCAUUGGGCGUAAAGGGUGUGUAGGCGGUUUCGUUAGUCUUCUCGUAAAAUCCCUCGGCUCAACCGAGGACCUGCGAGGGAAACGGCGAAACUGGAGGACGGAAGAGGUUUCUGGAACUCAUAGUGUAGCGGUGAAAUGCGUUGAUAUUAUGGGGAACACCAAAAGCGAAGGCAAGAAACUGGUCCGCUCCUGACGCUGAAACACGAAAGCGUGGGUC